UGAGGAAUCUUGCGCAAUGGGGGCAACCCUGACGCAGCAACGCCGCGUGAGUGAGGAAGGUCUUCGGAUCGUAAAGCUCUGUCGGAUGGAAAGAACCGCAUGGGGGUAAACAGCCCCUGUGUCUGACGGUACCAUCAAAGGAAGCACCGGCUAACUCCGUGCCAGCAGCCGCGGUAAUACGGGGGGUGCAAGCGUUGUUCGGAAUUAUUGGGCGUAAAGAGCGUGUAGGCGGCCGGAUGUGUCAGAUGUGAAAGCCCUGGGCUUAACCCAGGAAGUGCAUUUGAAACUGUUCGGCUUGAGUAGGGGAGAGGGAAGUGGAAUUCCUGGUGUAGAGGUGAAAUUCGUAGAUAUCAGGAGGAACACCGGUGGCGAAGGCGACUUCCUGGCCCUAUACUGACGCUGAGACGCGAGAGCGUGGGUAGCAAACAGG
rnacentral:rRNA from 1 species